UUGGAACGGAGGGAGUAAUAGACACUGCCUAUAACUUUCAUUAGAAUAUCCGAGGACUGAACAAACCAUGUUAAAAAAGUAAUUGUUACGUUAUAAUUUUGACGUCUAAGAAACCUUUUGAUGUACUUGUGGAGAUAGUUUGUUUUGCGAUGGAUGUGAGACAUGUACCUACCCUUCUCAAUUCCACACAGUAUUCACAUUUUUUAUGUGAAUCAUAAAUUUUUAGUCAUACAAUAUAAUUCUAUAGCUAUCAACAAUGGCUACUGACUAUCUAAAAUAAUACUCCCUCCGUUCACAAAUAUAAGAUGUUCCAACUUUUUUUCUGAAUCGGAUGUAUAUAGACACGUUUUAGUGUGUUUGUUCACUCAUUUCAGUCCGUAUGUAGACCAUAUUGAAAUAUCCAGAGCAUCUUAUAUUUGUGAACGAAGGGUGUAAUAUUUAAAAUUCUUUGGUGUUGUCUUGUCUAUUUCUAAAGGGUUUGCAGAAAACUUGCAUACACUUGUUAGCAACAGUCUAGUCUCGGUACCAUUAACCUUGAUCACAACGGAUAACUGCCAUGCUGAAGAGAACCAGAUGCGGUAGGUUAGAGAAAUCGGGCAUAGGGUUGAGAUGAUAGAAAUAUUCGGAGAGAAUGGAUUGAUUCUUCUUGCUUAUCUCAAACAGAGAUACAUGAUUUGCUAACACAGUAUGAACUGCUGAUAAAUUAUACUCCUUUAUCCCAUUUUGCCAAUACAAUUCUAUUGCCUAAAAGAUCCCUGAUCUCCCUCAAUUCGUACUCCCUGGUGCUAGUCCACAACAUACAGUGCAGCAGAAAUGCAAUUCUAUAUCUACAGAUUGAUGAAAAAUUGGUCAUAAUGAAGAAAGACUUGGUCCUUUCAAGUGAUUUGGUCUCAAGUGUAUUCUGGUUUCGAGGUAUGUUUGAAAUUAGAAAACAAAUUGUUUUGUACCAUCUCAAAGAUGUAAACCUGAGAAAUGAUACCUGGGGCCACAUGACAGUGACACAUUGAUACCCAUUUUCCAACUUGAGUGGUCUUUGUGAUGGUACAGAGCAAUGCUUAAGCGUGAUACUUUUUAGCUCUAGACUACAAGUUUCAACUUAAGUAAUGAGGGUGGUAGAGCACAUUGUGGUUUUGUUUAUUUGGAAGUGUAUGGUGCCAGUUGUGGGCUUCAGGCCCAGAUGUUUGUGAGGUUUUUCAAAUUCUAGUAUGUAAAUACAUUUAGGCGCGUGUAAUUAAAAAAAGAAAAUUUGUUUUUCCAGUGACGAUCAUCGAGUACAGCCGGACACGGUUCCUUGUCCUUUUUUGGUCGGAGUCGCUGCUAUCGCCAAAAUCCACUGCUGCAGUACCACCAGAUCCGCUGACCGACACUGCCCCAACCACCACUUUCGCCGCUCUGCCCUUCUCCAACCGCCUCCUCCGCAGUUCACCACAGCCCCGGUCAUCCUUCUUAAGCCUGUGGGCCUAGCUUCUUAUUCAGCGCCCGCAUGUCCCCACACUCCACACCCCUAAGGCUCUUCCUUGCCUUUGCCUGUUCCGCCGUGGUGAGCCACGUUGUCACUGACCCUGGUUCAGUGUCUUCCUGGCUGCGCAGCCGCCAGCGAUGUCCACCACUGCCUCGUCCCUGCUCAGCCGCUGUGGAGUCUCUCACACACACAUGUUAUCCUUCAAUGUAUUUGGUCAGCAGAUAGCGGGUGGUGUCUCAACUCUUCUCUAGGUUUCAACUAAUUUCCCUUCUACUUUUUGUAUUUUCGACUGCGGGUUCUGGUUAUUCUACUUUAUCUUCUCUGGCGAUCUAUGUGUGUUGCUUCAUCUCCGUUCUCCGUGGAGCUCAAGCGUGUCCGUUUGGAGCUGAUGAAGUGUUCCUUCUGUAUCUUGGUGUCUGCUCCAUUUCUUGCCGGUGAUGGUUUUCUUUAUCUCCUGUUGCAUGGGUGUGAGACUGGUCUUCUUCAUUGAUCUUGCCUCUCGGUUGGUGUUUCCUUUUUCAACCUCCCCUUUGGACGCCUGCAAUGUGGUUAUGGGAUUGACGACUCUGCGGUAUGGUCGAUGGCUGCUUGGCCUCCUGGUUGGGGACCUUCUACUGUUCUUGCGGUGCAGCUUUGUUGCCUGGCGCAUGCGGCUCCCCAGAUUCAAGGGCGUCAGUAACUUCCUCAACCUCUGCUUCCUCUGCGGUUCCGAGAGAGGCCCUUGGUCUGGCUGCUUUUCUGUGAAGCUGGUGGCGAUUGAAGCUCUGGUUUCGCCUAUGGUGAACCCUGUUCCAGUCAGCGGUGAAGCUCUGGUUCGCGUGGCAUUCUGUUUCCAGGAUGUCUUCUUUGUGGCUUGUUUAGCCCCAUGCAUCGAGCUCUUAACAUAAUGCAGGAAUCUUUUGCCAACAAAAUAAACAGAUCGUGGGUGCAGGGGAGAAAUAUGAUCAUGGGAUUAGUUAUUUCAGUACAGGUCGUGGUGGCGUAGAUAUCUCCUGAGGAGGUGUUGAUGGGCAUGUGGUUCCUCGGUCGGUUCAACAACACGAAAUGGUGGAUCACGAGAGAGAAAUCUCGUUAAACUUGUACUUCUAUUACAUACUAGCAAGAAACCCGUGCUUUGCUAUGGGAUGAAGGAUAACCAUACUUUAUGUUUACAAGCUAAUUACUUUAUUAAAAUCUGCAAAACUCAUGGUAGAUUGGGGUGUUUUAUGAAACAGAAUUAGGUGGGUAGUGACUAGUGAGCAACCACUUCUCAUUCUCAGUCGUUCGUACCAAGACGGUUGGUUGGUAUUACAGAAGUUGAAUGGACCAUCAUCACCAACUUGUUUCUUUAUAAGAUUUGUAAGACAUAAGUACUAUAUAAAUACUAGAAGGUUAAAGAGCCGAAGUCAAUGCAUUAGAAUAUGUAGAUUGUUUUCAACAUGUGAGCGUUCAGGAAUGGGAUGCAGCUAUACUAUAUAUACCCCCUUAUUGGAAUGUAAAAAGCUAAAGAACCAAAGCCAAUAAAUUAGAAUAUGGAGAUUGACUUCAAA